CAAUUCUCAUCUAUAAUCUGAUAGCAGCUAUGUAGGGCUUUGAAAAUGUAUAUGUAACCUCUACAUAAGACCUUUUGGAUUACGAUUGGAACACAGAAGAUUCACCUCUCUUCGAUCUCAAACCAUCACAGAGCACUAAACUCGAUUGGGUUGGAACUGAGAAGCGGUCAGAAUCAGAUUUAUCAGCGUUUUGGUUCUAUUCUAGGAUACGUAUUUCUUUGAAGCUCUAGAGAAUGAGAUGGGUCUAUUAGUUGUUGCCACCAACAGAGGCAUCACAGAUUUUAAGAAGGACAAUUGCAAGUACUGGGGUGAAAUUAGCCCUAUAAUAAUUUCACACACCAUGUGUAUACAAGACACCAACAAGGAGAAAUUAAACGUAUUAUAUCAGUUCUUAUAUACCAUUUUUUUGUGUCCAUUUUUAUUUCUUAUUCACUACUUCUCCUCCAAUGCUGAUAUGUGGAUGUCCCUGAUGGUGGAUCAAGGUUGAGCACACUGCAAGAGUGAAGAUGGGAUAGAUAAGAUGGUUAUGGAUGCAGGAGAUUAAUUUUCGAUGCAACUAUUUGUGAUGGGGUUGGAACUGGCUAUGAUGCAAUUCAUAGAGACCAGGAAGGGCAUUUUAUUGCAGCAGCGACUUAGCUGCAACAAUGUGUUUAUGAGCCAAAGAUUGCAGAAGCACUUGAGACACGUUGGGCUUUGACUUGGGCAAGAGUGCAUGAUUGACUUUGGAAUAAAGAUUGGCAAGCUUUCUGUUGUUAACGACACAUGAGCAGGAAUAGCAGUGCAUGAUUGACUUUGGAAUAAAGAUUGGCAAGCUUUCUAUUGUUAACGACACAUGAGCAGGAAUAGAAACUCAUCAAAAUUUAACUUUGUCUUCAAGAGCUACUAUUCUAAGGUUAAUUUUUCAGCUUUUGUGGACUCAUUUAAAAAGGUUCUUAGAUAGAUAUAAGAUUACCAUUUUCUGCUUUUUCUUGAACUAUUCAUAAGUUGAUGUAUCAGUCUUUGUAUGUUAGCUUAUACCUGAUGUAUUCUCUUCCAUUGGGGCCUUAAUAAUGCUCAUUUUACCUGAAAUCCAUGUAUGUUGUAGGCGUUGGGGCUUGGGAUUUUCCUUCUACAUAUUUUCAAAAUGGAGAACUAUCUUUCUAUUCU